rnacentral:rRNA from 1 species
GUAGGGUGCGAGCGUUAAUCGGAAUUACUGGGGCGUAAAGCGUGCGCAGGCGGUUGUGCAAGACAGAUGUGAAAUCCCCCGGGGGCUCAACCUGGGGAAUUGCAUUUGUGACUGCACGGCUAGAGUGUGUCAGAGGGGGGUAGAAUUCCACGUGUAGCAGUGAAAUGCGUAGAGAUGUGGAGGAAUACCGAUGGCGAAGGCAGCCCCCUGGGAUAACACUGACGCUCAUGCACGAAAGCGUGGGGAGCAAACAGGAUUAGAUACCCUGGUAGUCCACGCCCUAAACGAUGUCAACUAGUUGUCGGGUCUUAAUUGACUUGGUAACGCAGCUAACGCGUGAAGUUGACCGCCUGGGGAGUACGGUCGCAAAGAUUAA